GAUGAACGCUGGCGGCGUGCCUAAUACAUGCAAGUCGAGCGAACAGACGAGGAGCUUGCUCCUCUGACGUUAGCGGCGGACGGGUGAGUAACACGUGGAUAACCUACCUAUAAGACUGGGAUAACUUCGGGAAACCGGAGCUAAUACCGUAUAAUAUAUUGAACCGCAUGGUUCAAUAGUGAAAGACGGUUUUGCUGUCACUUAUAGAUGGAUCCGCGCCGCAUUAGCUAGUUGGUAAGGUAACGGCUUACCAAGGCAACGAUGCGUAGCCGACCUGAGAGGGUGAUCGGCCACACUGGAACUGAGACACGGUCCAGACUCCUACGGGAAGCAGCAGUAGGGAAUCUUCCGCAAUGGGCGAAAGCCUGACGGAGCAACGCCGCGUGAGUGAUGAAGGUCUUCGGAUCGUAAAACUCUGUUAUUAGGGAAGAACAAAUGUGUAAGUAACUAUGCACGUCUUGACGGUACCUAAUCAGAAAGCCACGGCUAACUACGUG
rnacentral:rRNA from 1 species